UGGAGUAGGGAUGUCCGAGGGGGGUUUGAAGUCCUCCCUUUUUUAUCUGAUUGGUGAUGCUCGCU
rnacentral:tRNA from 1 species